GUGACGAAGCGACGCCGCGUGUGGGAAGAAGGCCUUCGGGUUGUAAACCACUGUCGGGAGUUAAGAAGUGUAAGGGGGUGAAUAGUCCUCUUGCUUGACGUUAGCUCCGGAGGAAGCCACGGCUAACUCUGUGCCAGCAGCCGCGGUAAUACAGAGGUGGCAAGCGUUGUUCGGAAUUAUUGGGCGUAAGGAGCACGUAGGUGGCCCUACAAGUCAGCUGUGAAAUCCUUCUGCUCAACGGAAGAACGGCAGUUGAUACUAUAGGGCUCGAGUGCGGGAGGGGAGAGUGGAACUUCUGGUGGAGCGGUGAAAUGCGUAGAUAUCAGAAGGAACAUCGGCGGCGAAAGCGACUCUCUGGCCCGUAACUGACGCUGAGGUGCGAAAGCUAGGGGAGCAAACGGGAUUAGAUACCCCGGUAGUCCUAGCCGUAAACGAUGGGC
rnacentral:rRNA from 1 species